UACGUAGGCAGCGAGCGUUGUUCGGAGUUACUGGGCGUAAAGGGUGUGUAGGCGGUUCUUUAAGUUUGGUGUGAAAUCUCCCGGCUCAACCGGGAGGGUGCGCCGAAUACUGAGGGACUAGAGUACGGGAGAGGAAAGUGGAAGUUCCUGGUGUAGCGGUGAAAUGCGUAGAGUAUCAGGAGGAACACCGGUGGUGUAGACGGCUUUCUGGACCGUAACUGACGCUGAGACACGAAAGCGUGGGUAGCAAACAGG
rnacentral:rRNA from 1 species